CCCAUCCUCUUCCCCCUCUCUUCUCUGCAAAUCCAUCGCCUCCGCCACCAACUCCACUGCCUCCGCCUCCGCCACCAACUCCACUGCCUCCGCCUCCGCCUCAACCACCACCACGCCCCUUCUACGAGCUUUCAUGGCUAUUCAUAAUCAAAACCCAUCUUUCCCAUACCUCUCUAGACACCUAUUAUGUCAAUUUCAAUCCUUUUUAUUCACUAAAACCCUAGGUUUGAAAUUGGUAGAAUAGGUGAAGUUGGAGAAGCUAUAUUAGAGCAGCAGUUGGACGAAGAAAGGAAGUAGCAACUUGGGUCGAGACAUUGAGUGGUUAUCAGAGAAGUAGGUACCAUUGGAGCUGUGGAGCAGUGGUGCUGUGGAGCUGUUGGAGCUGCUACACUUAACUGGUGCUGCACUGGGAAGAAAAAGAGAAAAAGGGAGCAGCAGUGAUGCUACACUGAAGAGCAAAAGGAGAAAGAGGAAGAAAAACAGCUAAGCCUAAAUUUUCGUAAAGAUUUUGAACUGUGGGCUUUGAAUUUUGUUUAAGCAAAUUGUGGGCUUUGUUCCCAAACCUAGCUUAUGAGCCUUUUGAGUUCUGUUUUGACCCAUCUGGGCCUUGCAUAAUUUCUGAAUUGUGGGUUUAAACCCAACCUAAAAAAAAACUGAUCGCUGAACUGUGGG